AAGCCAUGAUGUGGGCAUUGAGACCAAUAGCCCUUGAACCUCUUUGAACCUCUCCCAUGCUUCACUAAAUCCCUCUAGGUUCUUCUGCUGAAAGCUAGAGAUCUCAUUCCUGAUCUU
rnacentral:snoRNA from 1 species